GUGGCUCAGUGGCAGAGCUCUUGCCUUGCAAGCAUGAGGCCCUGGGUUCGAUUCCUCAGC
rnacentral:tRNA from 1 species